GAGCCCAAGCGCCUGAGACAGGACCCCAGCGGCUCCACCAUGGACUUGGUGCCAAGCUGCGUUUUCCUCCUGAUCAUUUCUCAAGGUGUCCAGUGUGAGGUGCAGCUGGUGGAGUCUGGGGGAGGCCUGGUGCAGCCUGGGGGGUCUCUUAGACUCUCCUGUGCAGCCUCUGGAUUCACCUUCAGUAGCUACUGGAUGCACUGGGUCCGCCAGGCUCCAGGGAAGGGGCUGGAGUGGGUCGCACUCAUUAGUGGUCCUAGUGGUAGUACCAUAAACUAUGCCGCCUCAGUGAAGGGCCACUUCACCAUCUCCAGAGACAACGCCAAGAACUCGCUGUAUCUGCAAAUGAGCAGCCUGAGAGCCGAGGACACCGCCAUGUAUUACUGUGCAAGUGUCCUGUCCCAGGUGCAGCUGUGGGAGUCAGGCCCAGGACUGGUGAAGCCCUCGCAAACCCUCUCCCUCACCAGCUCUGUCUCUGGAUUCUCCAUCACAACCAGUGGUUACCUCUGGAACUGGAUCCUCCAGCCCCCGGGAAAGGGUCUGGAGUGGAUUGGGGGCAUAUGGCCCUGCCACCAGCUGGGCAGCCGCCACCAAUUCGCCACUGCCAUCCCCUCUUGGUCCUCACGUUGCCAUGGGCCAGAGCAGUACUAA